rnacentral:rRNA from 1 species
UGGGGAAUAUUGGACAAUGGGCGCAAGCCUGAUCCAGCCAUGCCGCGUGAGUGAUGAAGGCCCUAGGGUUGUAAAGCUCUUUCACCGGUGAAGAUAAUGACGGUAACCGGAGAAGAAGCCCCGGCUAACUUCGUGCCAGCAGCCGCGGUAAUACGACGGGGGCCAGCGUUGUUCGGAUUUACUGGGCGUAAAGCGCACGUAGGCGGACUUUUAAGUCAGGGGUGAAAUCCCGGGGCUCAACCCCGGAACUGCCUUUGAUACUGGAAGUCUUGAGUAUGGUAGAGGUGAGUGGAAUUCCGAGUGUAGAGGUAAAAUUCGUAGAUAUUCGGAGAAACACCAGUGGCGAAGGCGGCUCACUGGACCAUUACUGACGCUGGGGUGCGAAAGCGUGGGGAGCAAACAGG